AAGCUCGUAGUUGAAUUUCGGGGUUCUACCGUUGGUCGGGCUAACCAGUCUGUACUAGCGUGUAGAAUUCCUACCUUCUGGGGAACCAUCAUGUUAUUAAUUUAGCGUGGUGGGAAACCAGGACCUUUACCUUGAAAAAAUUAGAGUGUUCAAAGCAGGCUUACGUCUGAAUACAUUAGCAUGGAAUAAUAAAAUAGGACGGUGGUCCUGUUUUGUUGGUUUCUGAAUCACCGUAAUGAUUAAUAGGAUGUUGGG
rnacentral:rRNA from 1 species